rfam:Firmicutes bacterium CAG:882 genomic scaffold, scf487
UAUGGGAGAAGCUUAGCGUUUCGACAUUCUGCCGAAGUACCAGCAAUUUCCAACACGAUGUUGGAAAAGAUGCAAUGGAGCCACGGAUGGCGACUUUGCAUCGCUUGCGUCCCACUAUCAUAUUUUCCCGCAGAAUGUCUGAAACAGCUUAGCUUCGUACAUU